rnacentral:rRNA from 1 species
GACGAACGCUGGCGGCGUGCCUAAUACAUGCAAGUAGAACGCUGAAGGAGGAGCUUGCUUCUCUGGAUGAGUUGCGAACGGGUGAGUAACGCGUAGGUAACCUGCCUGGUAGCGGGGGAUAACUAUUGGAAACGAUAGCUAAUACCGCAUAACAGUAGAUAUCGCAUGAUAUCUACUUGAAAGGUGCAAUUGCCUCACUACCAGAUGGACCUGCGUUGUAUUAGCUAGUUGGUGAGGUAACGGCUCACCAAGGCGACGAUACAUAGCCGACCUGAGAGGGUGAUCGGCCACACUGGGACUGAGACACGGCCCAGACUCCUACGGGAGGCAGCAGUAGGGAAUCGUCGGCAAUGGACGGAAGUCUGACCGAGCAACGCCGCGGGAGGGAAGAAGGGUUUCGGAUCGUAAAGCUCUGUUGUAAGAGAAGAACGAGUGUGAGAGUGGAAAGUUCACACUGUGACGGUAUCUUACCAGAAAGGGACGGCUAACUACGUG